rnacentral:rRNA from 1 species
AGGAUGAACGCUGGCGGCGUGCCUAAUGCAUGCAAGUCGCACGGUCGGGCUUCGGCCCGGUAGUGGCGAACGGCUGAGGAACACGUACGAACCUACUCCUGUGUGGGGGACAACUCGGCGAAAGCCGCGCUAAUCCCGCAUACGCUCUUCGGAGGAAAGCGUGGAAACACGCGCACAGAAUUGGGCGUGCGGCCCAUCAGGUAGUUGGUGAGGUAAUGGCCCACCAAGCCGAUGACGGGUCGCUGGUCUGAGAGGACGACCAGCCAGACUGGGACUGUGACACGGCCCAGACUCCUACGGGAGGCAGCAGCAAGGAAUUUUCGGCAAUGGGCGCAGGCCUGACCGAGCAACGCCGCGUGGAGGAUGACGGCUUUCGGGUUGUAAACUCCUUUUGCCAGGGAAGAUACGGACGGUACCUGGCGAAUAAGCCCCGGCUAACUCUGUGCCAGCAGCCGC